GCUGGGCGAUGUUGGGAGUGAAGCUGAUCUUGCAAAUGGAUUCAUUUUGUUUGACUACUGUGGAAACUGGUGGUCCUACUUUACCUGGGGCAGAACAAGAUGUAAACAAUGACUUAGCCACAAGGGGUGCUAUAGCAAAACAAUUGCCACCAUUGGUCUUUACAAUCAACUUAGGCUUACGAUGCUUUUGGGAAACGCAGCCCAGGUUAGUUAAACACCAGGCAUGUUU